rnacentral:rRNA from 1 species
AAGUCGUAACAAGGUCUCCGUAGGUGAACCUGCGGAGGGAUCAUUACACAAAUAUGAAGGCGGGCUGGAACCUCUCGGGGUUACAGCCUUGCUGAAUUAUUCACCCUUGUCUUUUGCGUACUUCUUGUUUCCUUGGUGGGUUCGCCCACCACUAGGACAAACAUAAACCUUUUGUAAUUGCAAUCAGCGUCAGUAACAAAUUAAUAAUUACAACUUUCAACAACGGAUCUCUUGGUUCUGGCAUCGAUGAAGAACGCAGCGAAAUGCGAUACGUAGUGUGAAUUGCAGAAUUCAGUGAAUCAUCGAAUCUUUGAACGCACAUUGCGCCCUUUGGUAUUCCAAAGGGCAUGCCUGUUCGAGCGUCAUUUGUACCCUCAAGCUUUGCUUGGUGUUGGGCGUCUUUUGUCUCCAGUUCGCUGGAGACUCGCCUUAAAGUCAUUGGCAGCCGGCCUACUGGUUUCGGAGCGCAGCACAAGUCGCGCUCUUUGCCAGCCAAGGUCAGCGUCCAGCAAGCCUUUUUUUUCAACCUUUGACCUCGGAUCAGGUAGGGAUUCCCGCUGAACUUAAGCA